GACGAACCGUGCGAACGUUGUUCGGAAUCACUGGGCUUAAAGGGCGCGUAGGCGGGCGCGACAGUCAGGGGUGAAAGCCCGCGGCUCAACCGCGGAAGCGCCUCUGAUACUUCGCGCCUGGAGGGGGGCAGGGGCGCGCGGAACUUCCGGUGGAGCGGUGAAAUGCGUAGAUAUCGGAAGGAACGCCGGUGGCGAAAGCGGCGCGCUGGGCCCCUUCUGACGCUGAGGCGCGAAAGCCAGGGGAGCGAACGGG
rnacentral:rRNA from 1 species